AUUCCAGCUCCAAUAGCGUAUAUUAAAGUUGUUGCAGUUAAAAAGCUCGUAGUCGGAACUUUGGCCGGCGGUGAGCGUCCAAGGGCCUUCGGCCUUUGCGCAUGCGAUCCGCUAGCCAUGUACUUCGGAGGAACGCGUGUGCUUUUCACUAAGUGCGCGUGGGAUUCCGAUAGUUUACUUUGAGAAAAAUAGAGUGUUCAAAGCAGGCGUUUUGCCUUGAAUACAUUAGCAUGGGAUAAUGAAAUAGGACAUUGGUUCUAUUUUGACGGUUUACGGACCGAUGUAAUGAUUAAUAGGGACAGUUGGGGGCAUUAGUAUUUAAUUGUCAGAGGUGGAAUUCUCGGAUUUGUUAAAGACUAACUUAUGCGAAAGCAUUUGCCAAGGAUGUUUUCAUUG
rnacentral:rRNA from 1 species